CCUAGUAAGUACAAGUCACUAGCUUGUGCUGAUUACGUCCCCGCCCUUUGUACACACCGCCCGUCGCUACUACCGAUUGAAUGGCUUAGUGAGGCCUUCGGAUCGGAGGUGAGGACUAGCAAUAGAUCCUACUCUCGAGAAGUUGGUCAAACUUGGUCAUUUAGAGGAAGUAAAAGUCGUAACAAGGUUUCCCUAGGUGAACCUGCGGAAGGAUCAUUACCAAUCUUUAGUGAGCCUGGACUUGUCCAUGGUCUCGCGAAAUCUUGUACUUAAAACCUACUCUUAAUAAUUAAAAAAAAUGUAUUAAUGAUAAAUUAAGAUCACUUUCAACAACGGAUCUCUUGGCUCUCGCAUCGAUGAAGAACGUAGCGAAGUGCGAUAAGUAGUGUGUUAUUGUUAGAAUUCCGUGAAUCAUCGAAUUUUUGAACGCAAAUUGCACUCCCUGGCAUUCCGGGGAGUAUGCCUGUUUGAGGGUCAGUUUAAAUAAAAUCGAUGUGUCGCUUUUGUGACAUUUCGGAUUUGGGUUGUCUUAACCUUUUAGGUUAAGAGGCCUGAAAUUAAUAAUUUUUUUUGCGCAUCCUAGACGUGUAUAAAUCGCUUAUCCGUUUUUGGGUGUUAACCUCUUUAUUAGGUAUGGUCACUUUGCAUGAUCUCGUACCUAUAAUUUUUCAUGAUUUGACCUCAAUCAGUAGGAGUACCCGCUGAACUUAAGCAUAUCAAUAAGCGGAGGAAAAGAAAAUAACAAUGAUUCCCCUUAGUAACUGCGAGUUGAGAAGGGACAAGCUCCAAAUUUUAAUCUGUUAGGUUUUACCUGACCGAAGUUGUUAAUUUGAAGGAGGCCGUUUUCGCGUAUUUGGUCAACCAAGUUCCUAUUGAUUGAGCAUCUAUGAAGGUGAAUAAUCCCGUCCGAUUGAAUCAUGCGUUUUACGAAGCGCUUCCUAAGAGUCUAGUUGUUUGGCAUUGCAGCUUAACAUUGAGUAAGUUUCCUCUAGCUUAUUACCGGCUAGGACUGAUAGGCGA
rnacentral:rRNA from 1 species